GUUUUCAUCAAGAGCAGCUGUACCGGCUCUCCAUCUGAUGUGCGUCUGCCUUGCGCAGCGGUCAGGGGCCAGGGGCACUCGUGGUGGGUGACGUUACAGAACCCAAAGCCCAGCCGUGAGUUGGCCGGCAGUAGAGAAAGCCGCAGAGGCAUGGUCCUUGUGGUUCCGGCCGAGCGUUUUCACGCUGGUUUAAGGCUAGAGGUCCGGCUCCCAAUUCUGUGGGUAAAGUUUUGCAUGGGGGCAAGAGACUAUGGGGAGUUUCUAGAUGUGGAAGAUCCUGAGUGUAAGGGUGGGGCGAGUCCCUUAAAAAUUAUAAACCCGUUUCCUGGUUUAUUUAGGAACUAUAAGCUUAAUUAAAGCUCAGCAUCUUCCUCAUUGCAUACUACAGGCGGUGUCCAAGCCAGAAUAGUAAUUUAAGCGGGCGGGAGUAAAUAUCUGGCGAUUUUUAAAAAUGGGUGAGGUAGUAUUUCAAGGAAGAGAAAAAAAUUUCCACAAAGUAUAGAAUAAAAAUGCAAAAACGAGGCAAGAGAGUUAACUUGUCUAGCUGGCGUUAAGAUUUCUUCCGUAUGCAAGUCUAAUGGAAAGUGAAAACCAAG
rnacentral:lncRNA from 1 species